rnacentral:rRNA from 1 species
GACGAACGCUGGCGGCGUGCUUAACACAUGCAAGUCGAACGAAGUGGCGAACGGGUGAGUAACGCGUAAUCAACCUGCCCUUCAGAGGGGGACAACAGUUGGAAACGACUGCUAAUACCGCAUACUGCAGGGAGGGGUCGCGUCUGAUUAGCUCGUUGGAGGGGUAACGGCCCCACAAGGCGAUGAUCAGUAGCCGGUCUGAGAGGAUGAACGGCCACAUUGGGACUGAGACACGGCCCAGACUCCUACGGGAGGCAGCAGUGGGGAAUCUUCCGCAAUGGACGAAAGUCUGACGGAGCAACGCCGCGUGAGUGAUGACGGCCUUCGGGUUGUAAAGCUCUGUUAAUCGGGACGCGGUACCGGAAUAGAAAGCCACGGCUAACUACGUGCCAGCAGCCGCGGUAAUUC